UACGGAAGGCAGCAGUGGGGAAUAUUGCACAAUGGGCGCAAGCCUGAUGCAGCCAUGCCGCGUGUAUGAAGAAGGCCUUCGGGUUGUAAAGUACUUUCAGUCGUGAGGAAGGUGUUAAGGUUAAUAACCUUAGCAAUUGACGUUAGCGACAGAAGAAGCACCGGCUAACUCCGUGCCAGCAGCCGCGGUAAUACGGAGGGUGCGAGCGUUAAUCGGAAUUACUGGGCGUAAAGGGCACGCAGGCGGUUAAUUAAGUUGGAUGUGAAAUCCCCGGGCUUAACCUGGGAAUGGCAUUCAAGACUGGUUAGCUAGAGUCUUGUAGAGGGGGUAGAAUUCCGUGUGUAGCGGUGAAAUGCGUAGAGAUGUGGAGGAAUACCGGUGGCGAAGGCGGCCCCUGGACAAAGACUGACGCUCAUGUGCGAAAGCGUGGGGAGCAAACAGGGAUUAGAUACC
rnacentral:rRNA from 1 species